AAGGUGGAGCCGAUAACUGGGGUGAAGUCGUAACAAGGUAGCCGUAUCGGAAGGUGCGGCUGGAUCACCUCCUUU
rnacentral:ncRNA from 1 species